CCAGAAACAACUCAGAUGUCUGUGCAUCUUUCUAGUUUGGAAACUCAUGCUAUAUUUGUACAUUUAUUCUGAGUUGUUUUCCCAGCCACUGGGUCUGAAGUUCCUCAUUAACCUUGCUGGAAAUUUAAGUAAACUGGGGCUGGAGUUUAUGUGAAAACAGCAAAAGUUCUUGCCUAGAUUCUUUGCUUAGUAUAGAUUUGUUUUUCCUUUAUUUUUAUUUGUUUGUAAGUUCUUUUUUUCCUAAUCUAAAAACAAAAGCUCUCUCCAGUUAGAUUUAGAUACUGUUACAGGAAUGGAAUGAGAGUGAGUCAGUAAAUAUUUCUUUAAAUUAUUUUCCCGCAAUGUCUUUGGCAGUACAUUUUUUUUUAAUAUAACUUGAAAAAAUAACAAUAUUUAUAAUGAGGAGGUUCUCAGAUCACCAGACUGUUUUAGUAGGAGGUGGCACAUCCAGGUGGUGGGGGUUUUUCAAUAGAGCUGCACUCUAUACUCUCAUUCUACUGAGCUAUGCUUAAACCUGGAAAAUAAACUUUAAUCUCUACUUAGCCAAAGCAACCAAUGUUGCCAGUUCUUUAACUGAAAUAUAAUUUUGAUUAGAAUUUAGAGGUAGAUGUCACUUUCCUUCCAGCCAGUGACCGCUGGGGGAUGCAAUCAGUUAUAAUCAGCAGUAGACAGGAAGGGUACCAUUACCAUAACCAUGUUAGUUUCAAAUAUUUCAUAAUUUUUUUUAGUACAGUAUUGUUGAUAGGAACUAGGAGUUAGUAGCACAUGUUUUUAUUUCUCUUAUCUCUAGUGACCAAUUUGUAUUUCAUCUUCUGCUGUACAUGACAAGAAUAUACUGCCAUGUAUUCAAAAGAGAGUUAAAUCAGAGCAAGUCAAAUUGGAAAGAGGCCUUUGGAAUACAGUUACAUUCACCAUAUGGCUGUUUUCCCCAAAAGACAGAAAUGGAAGAUAUGCAGGAUGGGAAAGAUGGAAGAGAAACAGAGAAGAUUUUCACAGAAACGCCUUUGCUCAUGUGUACCAUGUGUGAACUGUGGCAUAAAGUGAAAGAACCAGAUCUUGUUUUGACAUAUUUUACUUAAUGGAGGAGCAAGACACUCUACAAAGUGUGGUGUUAGAGGAAAGAGACUACCUUGAUUCACUGCAAGAGAAUAUCUGGGGCAGUUCAAUGAGAAGCAAAAAGAAUUAGAAAGUUCUGCCAAGGACCUAGAGUCGCUCUGGCUCCUGCUGUCAUUCACCUUCAGGAACAGUACCUGCAUGCUCUGCUUGAUGAUUCAGGACGCAGUAUUUGCUACAGUCCCAUUUCACAGG
rnacentral:lncRNA from 1 species